rnacentral:rRNA from 1 species
CCUACGGGAGGCAGCAGUAAGGAAUAUUGGUCAAUGGAGGCAACUCUGAACCAGCCAUGCCGCGUGCAGGAUGACGGCCCUAUGGGUUGUAAACUGCUUUUAUACAAGAGAAAACCCUGGUACGUGUACCAGGUUGAUAGUAUUGUAAGAAUAAGCAUCGGCUAACUUCGUGCCAGCAGCCGCGGUAAGACGAAGGAUGCAAGCGUUAUCCGGAUUCAUUGGGUUUAAAGGGUGCGUAGGCGGACUGAUAAGUCAGUGGUGAAAUCUCUUUGCUUAACAAAGAAACUGCCAUUGAUACUGUCGGUCUAGAGUAUAGAUGACGUUGGCGGAAUAUGACAUGUAGUGGUGAAAUACUUAGAUAUGUCAUAGAACACCGAUUGCGAAGGCAGCUAACGAAACUAUAACUGACGCUGAGGCACGAAAGUGCGGGGAUCAAACAGGAUUAGAUACCCUGGUAGUCCGCACCGUAAACGAUGAUUACUCGUUGUUGGCGAUAUGACAGUCAGCGACCAAGCGAAAGCGAUAAGAAUCCACCUGGGGAGUACGCCGGCACGGUGAAACUCAAAGGAUUGACGGNUUGAGACGNGCGAGGACGACGACGAGGGAGGAGG